rnacentral:rRNA from 1 species
UACGGGGGGAGCAAGCGUUGUUCGGAUUUACUGGGCGUAAAGGGCGCGUAGGCGGCCACCGCAAGUCAAUUGUGAAAUCUCCGGGCUUAACCCGGAAAGGUCAGCCGAUACUGCGGGGCUAGAGUGCAGAAGGGGCAACUGGAAUUCUCGGUGUAGCGGUGAAAUGCGUAGAUAUCGAGAGGAACACCUGCGGCGAAGGCGGGUUGCUGGGCUGACACUGACGCUGAUGCGCGAAAGCUAGGGGAGCGAACGGG